rfam:Candidatus Filomicrobium marinum strain Y genome assembly, chromosome: 1
CCAGUCGGCUGGACGGCCGCUGUUCCGGCAUGGGCUUUGUGGCCCGUCAAAAUGUCGGAAUGGAGGAAAGUCCGGGCUCCAUGGAAACACGGUGGCGGCUAACGGCCGCCGGGGGUGACCCCAGGGAAAGUGCCACAGAAAGCAAACCGCCGCUGCUCGCUUUGCGAGGUACGGUAAGGGUGAAAGGGUGCGGUAAGAGCGCACCGCGCGGCUGGUAACAGUCGCGGCAUGGUAAACCCCACCGGGAGCAAGGCCAAAUAGGGGCGACCGGAGAUGUGUGGCGCGCAAGCGACGUGCGAUCUCAGGCCCGUUUUCAGGUUCGUCGCCCGGGUUGGCUGCUUGAGGCGUCUGGUGACAGACGUCCCAGAUGAAUGGUCGUCGCGGAGGGUGACCUCCAGACAGAACCCGGCUUACAGGCCGACUGGCAGA